GCUGGGCAUGGCGGUGUGUGCCUAUAAUCCCAGCUACUCGGGAGGCUGAGGUGGGAGGAUCGCUUGAGCCCAGGAGUUCUGGGCUGUAGUGCACUAUGCCAAUCAGGUGUCCGCACUAAGUUCGGCAUCAAUAUGGUGACCUCCCGGGAGCGGGGGACCACCAGGUUACCUAAGGAGGGGUGAAUUGGCCCAGGUCAGAAAUGGAGCAGGUCAAAACUCCCAUGCUGAUCAGUAGUGGGAUCAUGCCGGUGAAGAGCCACCGCACUCCACACUCCAGACUGGGCAACAUAGCGAGACCCUGUCUCUA
ensembl:misc_RNA Metazoa_SRP Metazoan signal recognition particle RNA